ensembl:lncRNA
UAAUUGCAGUAGUUUUGGGAGUGGAAGGUGAGUACAUUAGGUUUAGGAUUAUCGCGGGAUCUCGUGAUCUUGCGGGAAUACGGCUGGCUCGCUAGGCAGCGUUGCGCUGCCGUAACGCGCCCGGUGGAAAUGCAAGCAGGGCAAAGUCGCGGCCAAGACGUGCCGCAGCCGUAACGCAGCCGUAACGCGUCCGGUGGAAUCCCCGGGUGAUUGUCACAUCUCAGCUUCUCAACACACGCCAAGGCACUUUGGACCAGUGUAGAGGUCUGUGGAUUUGGAUUUUUACUUUCUCCUUCAGGAUGAACCCACCAGAAAAUCUAGACAAGGAGACUGGCAAUUGAAUUGAAAGAAACAUUUUAGUCAUCCAACAAAUAUAAUACAACACAGGGGGGAAGAAGUUCCUGAUGACACCAAGCUUGGAGCACUUUUCAGCAGGGGCAUUCACUGGUGAUGUUGCUUCGGCUUUCAGGUUUCCAUCAUCCGGCUCCACUGGCUCUAUCAGGUCAAGCACAGUGAAAGUCUGAGCUAAACAAACAAAAACACAGAAGACAUGAAACAAAUUAAUAGAAGGAUACUGUUACAUAAUUCACACAUUCAUACUGUUACGUAUUUUAAGAACAUAAGCUGCCCCCACAUAGCCUCUAGGAAGCAGAUUCAAACACGCAAGCUGUAUUACCCUCACAUAGCCACUAGGAAGCAGGACCGAACAUAUAAUCCGUAAAUACUGUACAUAGCCACAAGUGGAGCAAGCCCUUACUGAAGGCUGCUCCAUCCACAGAAGGCAGCACUUUUAGAUAGGUGAAGAAGCCGAGGCUAAUACGUCACAUAGGCCACACCCACUUGACCCUAUCAAUCUCGACAGAAAGGUUGGACCUCAGAAACUCUUGGUAGCUCAGACUUGCGGGUUAGAGUUUUGAUCAGCUGGGAGUCGCUCAGCACGUGUUCGACACACUUCCCCUCCUUUUGCUCCGUAGUUACCAUACCGAAAUACUUUAACAAAUAAAGUGAGUAAAAAGCGAUCCGGAUUGGACUACAUUCUUCGAAGAAUGCUGCAAUACCAACAGGCCACAUAUGCCCUUGCUAAUUAAAGAGGCUUCUUUCUCACGUUAAGGAGGGAUCCUGAGCCUAGGGAGGCGUACAGCUCAUACAGGAGGCCAUUCAACAUGUGUCAAUUCGAGAGAUAUGAGCGGUCAAGAUGUUUGAGAGACCCAGAAGCUCAAGGCCACAAAAACAAGUGUAAUUCCCGCACAUAGCCACAAACCAAGUUGCAAUGCCAACACAUAGCCGCAAGGGACAGCAUAAAGACACAUACGGUUAUCAAGGGGGCGGGAGUUCAGCACUAUGCUUAGCCAAUCAGAGCACAUAACUGAGUCCACGCCUGCCCAGUAUUAAAGUCACAAUGCAUAGCCCAGGGGGACAGAACGCUCCAGGUAACGCAUCCUUCAGAAUGCCCUACUAAGGGCCCGUGUCCACCAAAAGCGUUUUUAAAAGACGGAGCGCAGGUCUGCAAUGCAUUCUCUAUGGCAGGACGCGCAAGCAGCGCGCCUUUUAAAAAGCCGCCCGGAGCGUUUAAACGCUCCACGCGCCUUGCGCUUUUAGACGCGCGCCCCCGUUGAAAAAAAUUUAACUUUUGAAGAAAAGCGCUCCGUGUCAUCGGCGCUUUUUUUGAACGACCAAUCAAAAUCGAGGAGGAGGCAAGGCUAAAAUUAUCAACGGAACUCAAACGGAAACAAACUGAAACAUGUCGGACGAAAGCUUGAUAACAGCUGUGAGUGAGUGUCCGGUCCUGUACGACCUCACGUUAAAGGCGUAUCACGACCAAACAAAACGCAACCAGGCCUGGCGAGACAUUUCAGCUAUGCUGGGCGUUACAGCUGAAGUGUCCCGCAAGAAAUGGAAAUACGUGAUAAAUAUUUGAGGGAGAGGAAGGCAGAGAGGGACAGAAAGAAAAGUGGGGCCGGUUUCAAGAGGUGGAAGUAUAUGGCCAUCAUGGGCUUCCUGGAGCGCCAUGUGAAGGAGAGGGUGACGUCUAGCAACAUGGAGCAGGGAGAUUAAAGCCAGGUGGUGGCUCAAAGUGAAGAGGAGAUAUCUCCUCCCUCUCCCAGCCUAUCAGAGUCCGCUGUGGACACUUCUCCUCCAUCUCCUCCCACUACCUCUACGGUGGCUCUGUUCACACCGCUGCGUCCUGUACCUCCACCUCCACGCAGGAGACAGCUGGAGCAGCCGCUGUCUGUGUUCCAGCAAUCAAUCCUGUCCUCCAUCCAAAAAGAAAAGGGGAAUACAAUGGCUGUGGACGAGGAUGAGCAUUUUAUGCUCAGCCUCGUCCCAUCAUUGAGGAGGCUGUCAAACCAGAAAAGGGCCCAGGCGCGCAUGAGGAUGCAGCAGGUCCUUUACGAUGUGGAGUUUGGAGAGUAAUUCAUUUGUAAUCAUUUUCUAUUUAGAUUUAGUUUUAAGAUUUAAGAUUUUUUUAAAUGUGUAAAUAAAAUUUGUAGUCAGUUUCUAUUUAGAUUUAGUUGUAAGAUUUUUUUAAAUGUGUCGAUAAAAUUUGUGAUCAGUUUCUAUUUAGAUUUAGUUUAAGCUUUAAGAUUUUUUUAAAUGUGUACAUAAUAUCUUGGAAUCAUUUUCUAUUUAGAUUUAGUACAAGCUAUAAGAAAUAUUUAAAUGUGUAC